AGGGAGAAUCAGUAGCAUGAAAGUCUAAGCAUCAUCCUUUCCUUCAAAUGGAAACAGAGGUGACUGCACCUCAGAUGAUGGCAUCAGUGAAACUUGCCAGAGAAAUUUGUAACAAUAAUGCUGAAUCCAAAUCUGAGACAAAGUGCCCCACAUGGAAAAAUAGCCCAGAGCUGGAAGAGGCUGGUCUCCAAGUUAGGCGUGAGGAACAUGAACAGAAGAAAGCAGAAUAGCAGCUUCAUCUGGAAGGAAUUAUUUGGGAAUGAGAACAAAAUGGUUUCAGCCAGGUGCAGCUAGGACUUGGCAACCAUCAUCCUGAAGCUGGUGUCUGUGCUAAUUCUGCACUUGGUGACCUUCACGAUGUGGGUGUUUGGAAUGAUUCUGUUGGCACAAAUACAAAUUCUCUCAUACAACCAUCUGCUCCUUGUGGAGAGGAAUUUUCAACAGGUAUCUGGGAUGUUUCAGCUAUAGCAUUCCAUUUUCAGCACAUCUCCCGUAUUUAUGGUGGGAAAAUAAUGCCUACACUGCUUUGAAGAAAGUGAUAUUUAGAGAUGGAGUGCUUCUUCAGUUUUAAAUGUAAGAGAAAUUCACUGGGCAUAUCCUUAUGACACUUCAGAUGAACUUCAAGCUUGAAGAUCCAAAGGCUGGUCUUCAACCCCAAGGCCCUUAUUAUUCCCAUUUUCCUAUCGCAUAACCUCACUUUCUCAAACCAGUUCUUCCUUAUAUUUCUCAUCAUCCCUCAUGCCUACCUAUCCCAUAGUGUCUGGAAAAUGACUAGUACAUGGCAAGUUGAUGGCAAAGAGUGUUGGCUGAUCUAGGUGUAAUGGUAUGCCUAAUGAUAGCCUUGAUUGAGUCUCUUUGAUGCCCUGAUUCACGGAACUACAAAUGUCAUUCACAGAAAAAAGUAUAUCUAUUUUUCUUAAUUUGACCUACAUUACACAGCCUGGGAUGGAAAAGGAUUUUCAAUUUUACCAUUUAACUACUAAGCCUAACAACUGCUUCUUAUCAUAAACCUUAGGGGACUCCUGUUCCACUGAAUCCAAUGCCAGUGUCUGUGCAGCACAUGUUUUAAGACUGAUAUGCUAGUAUAAAAUGUCAUUUUCCUUGCUAGAUGCAAGUUAGUUUUCUUGAGGUCAUUAUUGAUUUUUUUAUACCCUUUGGAGACUUCCUGCUCUUCAGAAAUUCCAAUACAGUUUAUCUACCACUUAACUGUACUAAAAGCGGAAACCAAAACUUCACAUAUAGGACAAAAUUCUUGCAAUCUUCAAAGUAAAAGAAAAAAUCUCUCAUUAGGGUAUUGAAAAUGAAGAGUUCUGUCUUCAAUAACACAUGUAGUAACUCAUUAUGAAGCAUACAUUUAUGUACAGAAAAUGAACAGAAAUCCUCUACGGGUGCCCAGAAUUACAGGUUACAUGGCGAUGAUUCUGAAGAAAAUACUGUCAUUUUUGUGUUGCACAGGAUAAUUUGCAAUAAAAUUCAUUGAUUACAGCAAUUUCUUUUUUGGUACUUCUGAGAGAUCUGUUAUUUUAGGAAGUUAAGAGUUAAGGAUUAAUAGGUCUUUCAUUUUAAUCUUUCCCAAUAUUCCAAGUUUAAACCAGGCUUUUAUUGGUGGGGAUGGAAUUAUGCUGUCUUAUAGGCACAACAUAUUUUCCAAAUAAAUUCAGUGCUGUGCAUGGAAAUAUUUUGAACAUUUAGUUCAAAUUACAUCAUCUCAAUUUAUGUUUCAGGGUUUCUACCUUCCAGUUGAUACACUCUACACAAUGACAUACAAUUUUAGGGUUCAAUCGAAAGUGAGCACAGAUGUCAACUUCUGAUGCUGUCAGGCCACUUGCAGGUGCUCAGCGCUCUGCAAAAGCACAGUAUCACAGCCACUCGGUACAGAACCUCUGUGUCCUUCUGCUUCUUCAACUUACAUUUCACAGAACUAUAGAAGAAGAGAAUCACUGAGGUUGGAAAGGACCUUUAGGAUCAUCAAAUGCAACCGUUAACCUUACACUGCCAAGCCCACCAGUAAACCAUGUCCCUGAGCAUCACAUCCACAAGUCUGAAAUGCCUUCAGGGAUAGUGACUCCACCACUUCCCUGAGCAGCCUGUUCCAGUGCCUGAGAACCCUUUUGGUGAAGAAUUUUUUCCUAAUAUCCAAUCUAAACCUCCCCUGGUGUAACUUAAGGCCAUUUCCUCUUGUCCUAAAUGUCUUUCUUUUUCAUAUCCUAUUAAAAACGUGCUGCCUUA